rnacentral:rRNA from 1 species
AUUGAACGCUGGCGGCAGGCCUAACACAUGCCAGUCGAACGGUAACAGGAAACAGCUUGCUGUUUCGCUGACGAGUGGCGGACGGGUGAGUAAUGUCUGGGAAACUGCCUGAUGGAGGGGGAUAACUACUGGAAACGGUAGCUAAUACCGCAUAACGUCGCAAGACCAAAGAGGGGGACCUUCGGGCCUCUUGCCAUCGGAUGUGCCCAGAUGGGAUUAGCUAGUAGGUGGGGUAACGGCUCACCUAGGUGACGAUCCCUAGCUGGUCUGAGAGGAUGACCAGCCACACUGGAACUGAGACACGGUCCAGACUCCUACGGGAGGCAGCAGUGGGGAAUAUUGCACAAUGGGCGCAAGCCUGAUGCAGCCAUGCCGCGUGUAUGAAGAAGGCCUUCGGGUUGUAAAGUACUUUCAGCGGGGAGGAAGGGAGUAAAGUUAAUACCUUUGCUCAUUGACGUUACCCGCAGAAGAAGCACCGGCUAACUCCGUG